AGAACGAACGCUGGCGGCAGGCCUCAAACAUGCAAGUCUAGGGGGUGUAGCAAUACAUCACCGGCGGACGGGUGCGCAACGCGUGGGAAUGUACCUAUUGGUUCGGAACAACACAGGGAAACUUGUGCUAAUGCCGAAUGUGCCCGUAAGGGGAAAGAUUUAUCGCCAAUAGAUCAGCCCGCGUUCGAUUAGCUAGUUGGUGAGGUAAUGGCUCACCAAGGCGACGAUCGAUAGCUGUUCUGAGAGGAAGAUCAGCCACACUGGGACUGAGACACGGCCCAGACUCCUACGGGAGGCAGCAGUUGGGAAUCUUGGACAAUGGGGGAAACCCUGAUCCAGCCAUGCCGCGUGAGUGAUGAAGGCCUUCGGGUGUAAACUCUUUCGCGCACGACGAUAAUGACGGUAGUGCGAGAAGAAGCUCCGGCUAACUUCGUGCCAGCAGCCGC
rnacentral:rRNA from 1 species